UUGAAGUAAACCUGAUGAGUUGCUGCUGGUUCUCUAGGGAGCAUUGUGCACACUUGUCAUUUUUAUAUCUCCACCUGUGAACCUUUUGUAGACCUGGAUAUCUCUCUGAGUAUUUGUGCUCAGGUUUGAGGACUUGACCCUCCUUACAUUUCCAGGUCUAUGUUUCUUCAUAUACCCGACCUAUGUUAUAGAAUGUAAUAAAUGAGCCUUUGUGCCUAUAAACCUUAUA
rnacentral:misc_RNA from 1 species